rnacentral:rRNA from 1 species
AACGAACGCUGGCGGCAGGCUUAACACAUGCAAGUCGAACGAUGUAGCAAUACAUAGUGGCGCACGGGUGAGUAACGCGUGGGAAUAUACCAAUCAGUGGGGAAUAACUUUGGGAAACUAAAGCUAAUACCGCAUACGCCCGAGAGGGGAAAGAUUUAUCGCUGAUUGAUUAGCCCGCGUGAGAUUAGGUAGUUGGUGGGGUAAUGGCCUACCAAGCCUACGAUCUCUAGCUGGUCUGAGAGGAUGAUCAGCCACACUGGAACUGAGACACGGUCCAGACUCCUACGGGAGGCAGCAGUGGGGAAUAUUGGGGCAAUGGAGGAAACUCUGAUCCAG